GUAUUACAACUCUCUUCCCCUUAAGAAAAAUUUUGUCCCUCAAAUUCGUCACCCUCUCACUUAGUUAAAAAAUUGGGGGUACUGUGCUUUGAUAUCCGAUUCUAGCACAUAAGUGGCCUCUUGUUGUGUGUGAUUCUACCAUAGGACUUUGACGAAGGGAAUCUCUCUCUCGUGAAGCACUCUGCUCUUCCGGUGCACAAUGCUUACUAGUAUAUUCUCAUAGGAUAGAUCCUCCUUGAGUGAAAGGUGUUCGUGGGAUAGAAUGUGUGAGGGGUCUAGGUUGUACUUUUGUAGUAUGGACACAUGAAAC
rnacentral:lncRNA from 1 species